rnacentral:rRNA from 1 species
CAUAGGUUAAUGAGGCGAACCGGGGGAACUGAAACAUCUAAGUACCCCGAGGAAAAGAAAUCAACCGAGAUUCCCCCAGUAGCGGCGAGCGAACGGGGAGGAGCCCAGAGCCUGAAUCAGUGUGUGUGUUAGUGGAAGCGUCUGGAAAGGCGCGCGAUACAGGGUGACAGCCCCGUACACAAAAAUGCACAUACUGUGAGCUCGAUGAGUAGGGCGGGACACGUGGUAUCCUGUCUGAAUAUGGGGGGACCAUCCUCCAAGGCUAAAUACUCCUGACUGACCGAUAGUGAACCAGUACCGUGAGGGAAAGGCGAAAAGAACCCCGGCGAGGGGAGUGAAAAAGAACCUGAAACCGUGUACGUACAAGCAGUGGGAGCCUCUUAAUGGGGUGACUGCGUACCUUUUGUAUAAUGGGUCAGCGACUUAUAUUCUGUAGCAAGGUUAACCGAAUAGGGGAGCCGAAGGGAAACCGAGUCUUAACUGGGCGUUAAGUUGCAGGGUAUAGACCCGAAACCCGGUGAUCUAGCCAUGGGCAGGUUGAAGGUUGGGUAACACUAACUGGAGGACCGAACCGACUAAUGUUGAAAAAUUAGCGGAUGACUUGUGGCUGGGGGUGAAAGGCCAAUCAAACCGGGAGAUAGCUGGUUCUCCCCGAAAGCUAUUUAGGUAGCGCCUCGUGAAUUCAUCUCCGGGGGUAGAGCACUGUUUCGGCAAGGGGGUCAUCCCGACUUACCAACCCGAUGCAAACUGCGAAUACCGGAGAAUGUUAUCACGGGAGACACACGGCGGGUGCUAACGUCCGUCGUGAAGAGGGAAACAACCCAGACCGCCAGCUAAGGUCCCAAAGUCAUGGUUAAGUGGGAAACGAUGUGGGAAGGCCCAGACAGCCAGGAUGUUGGCUUAGAAGCAGCCAUCAUUUAAAGAAAGCGUAAUAGCUCACUGGUCGAGUCGGCCUGCGCGGAAGAUGUAACGGGGCUAAACCAUGCACCGAAGCUGCGGCAGCGACACUAUGUGUUGUUGGGUAGGGGAGCGUUCUGUAAGCCUGUGAAGGUGUGCUGUGAGGC